rnacentral:rRNA from 1 species
UGGCUGUCGUCAGCUCGUGUCGUGAGAUGUUGGGUUAAGUCCCGUACGAGCGCAACCCUGCCUUAGUUGUCCAGCAGUUCGGCUGGGCACUCUAAAGGGACUGCCGGUGUUAAACCGGAGGAAGGUGGGGAUGACGUCAAGUCCUCAUGGCCUUUAUGACCAGGGCUACACACGUACUACAAUGGCCGAUACAAAGGGCAGCGACACUGCGAGGUGAAGCCAAUCCCGUAAAAUCGGUCUCAGUCCGGAUUGGAGUCUGCAACUCGACUCCAUGAAGUUGGAAUCGCUAGUAAUCGUGGAUCAGCAUGCCACGGUGAAUACGUUCCCGGGCCUU